rnacentral:rRNA from 1 species
UACGUAGGGUGCGAGCGUUGUCCGGAAUUAUUGGGCGUAAAGAGCUUGUAGGCGGUCUGUCGCGUCUGCUGUGAAAAUCCGGGGCUCAACCCCGGACUUGCAGUGGGUACGGGCAGACUAGAGUGUGGUAGGGGAGACUGGAAUUCCUGGUGUAGCGGUGAAAUGCGCAGAUAUCAGGAGGAACACCGAUGGCGAAGGCGGGUUGCUGGGCCGACACUGACGCUGAGGCGCGAAAGCCAGGGGAGCGAACGGG